AAUGAACGCUGGCGGCAUGCCUAACACAUGCAAGUCGAACGAAGGCUUCGGCCUUAGUGGCGCACGGGUGCGUAACGCGUGGGAAUCUGCCCUUUGGUUCGGAAUAACAGUUGGAAACGACUGCUAAUACGGGAUGAUGACGAAAGUCCAAAGAUUUAUCGCCAGAGGAGGAGCACGCGUAGGAUUAGCUGGUUGGUGUGGGAAAGGCGCACCAAGGGGAAGAUCCUUAGCUGGUCUGAGAGGAAGAUCAGCCACACUGGGAAUGAGACACGGCCCAGCCUCCUACGGGAGGCAGCAGGGGGGAAUAUUGGACAAUGGGCGAAGGCCUGAUCCAGCAAUGCCGCGUGAGUGAUGAAGGCCUUAGGGUUGUAAAGCUCUUUUACCCGGGAUGAUAAUGACAGUACCGGGAGAAUAAGCUCCGGCUAACUCCGUGCCAGCCGCCGCGGUAA
rnacentral:rRNA from 1 species